rnacentral:rRNA from 1 species
UUAAGCGACUAAGCGUACACGGUGGAUGCCCUGGCAGUCAGAGGCGAUGAAGGACGUGCUAAUCUGCGAAAAGCGUCGGUAAGGUGAUAUGAACCGUUACAGCCGGCGAUGUCCGAAUGGGGAAACCCAGUGUGAUUCGUCACACUAUCGUUAACUGAAUACAUAGGUUAACGAGGCGAACCGGGGGAACUGAAACAUCUAAGUACCCCGAGGAAAAGAAAUCAACCGAGAUUCCCCCAGUAGCGGCGAGCGAACGGGGAGCAGCCCAGAGUCUGAAUCAGCUUGUGUGUUAGUGGAACGGUCUGGAAAGUCCGACGGUACAGGGUGAUAGUCCCGUACACCAAAAUGCACAGGCUGUGAACUCGAAGAGUAGGGCGGGACACGUGGUAUCCUGUCUGAAUAUGGGGGGACCAUCCUCCAAGGCUAAAUACUCCUGACUGACCGAUAGUGAACCAGUACCGUGAGGGAAAGGCGAAAAGAACCCCGGCGAGGGGAGUGAAAAAGAACCUGAAACCGUGUACGUACAAGCAGUGGGAGCACCUUCGGGUGUGACUGCGUACCUUUUGUAUAAUGGGUCAGCGACUUAUAUUCUGUAGCAAGGUUAACCGUAUAGGGGAGCCGCAGGGAAACCGAGUCUUAACUGGGCGUUAAGUUGCAGGGUAUAGACCCGAAACCCGGUGAUCUAGCCAUGGGCAGGUUGAAGGUUGGGUAACACUAACUGGAGGACCGAACCGACUAAUGUUGAAAAAUUAGCGGAUGACUUGUGGCUGGGGGUGAAAGGCCAAUCAAACCGGGAGAUAGCUGGUUCUCCCCGAAAGCUAUUUAGGUAGCGCCUCGUGAACUCAUCUUCGGGGGUAGAGCACUGUUUCGGCUAGGGGGUCAUCCCGACUUACCAACCCGAUGCAAACUACGAAUACCGAAGAAUGUUAUCACGGGAGACACACGGCGGGUGCUAACGUCCGUCGUGAAGAGGGAAACAACCCAGACCGCCAGCUAAGGUCCCAAAGUCAUGGUUAAGUGGGAAACGAUGUGGGAAGGCACAGACAGCCAGGAUGUUGGCUUAGAAGCAGCCAUCAUUUAAAGAAAGCGUAAUAGCUCACUGGUCGAGUCGGCCUGCGCGGAAGAUGUAACGGGGCUAAACCAUGCACCGAAGCUGCGGCAGCGACACUAUGUGUUGUUGGGUAGGGGAGCGUUCUGUAAGCCUGCGAAGGUGUGCUGUGAGGCAUGCUGGAGGUAUCAGAAGUGCGAAUGCUGACAUAAGUAACGAUAAAGCGGGUGAAAAGCCCGCUCGCCGGAAGACCAAGGGUUCCUGUCCAACGUUAAUCGGGGCAGGGUGAGUCGACCCCUAAGGCGAGGCCGAAAGGCGUAGUCGAUGGGAAACAGGUUAAUAUUCCUGUACUUGGUGUUACUGCGAAGGGGGGACGGAGAAGGCUAUGUUAGCCGGGCGACGGUUGUCCCGGUUUAAGCAUGUAGGCUGAUUGUCCAGGCAAAUCCGGAUAAUCAAGGCUGAGGUGUGAUGACGAGGCACUACGGUGCUGAAGUAACAAAUGCCCUGCUUCCAGGAAAAGCCUCUAAGCAUCAGGUAACAUUAAAUCGUACCCCAAACCGACACAGGUGGUCAGGUAGAGAAUACCAAGGCGCUUGAGAGAACUCGGGUGAAGGAACUAGGCAAAAUGGUGCCGUAACUUCGGGAGAAGGCACGCUGGUGUGUAGGUGAAGUCCCUGCGGAUGGAGCUGAGACCAGUCGAAGAUACCAGCUGGCUGCAACUGUUUAUUAAAAACACAGCACUGUGCAAACACGAAAGUGGACGUAUACGGUGUGACGCCUGCCCGGUGCCGGAAGGUUAAUUGAUGGGGUUAUCCGUAAGGAGAAGCUCUUGAUCGAAGCCCCGGUAAACGGCGGCCGUAACUAUAACGGUCCUAAGGUAGCGAAAUUCCUUGUCGGGUAAGUUCCGACCUGCACGAAUGGCGUAAUGAUGGCCAGGCUGUCUCCACCCGAGACUCAGUGAAAUUGAACUCGCUGUGAAGAUGCAGUGUACCCGCGGCAAGACGGAAAGACCCCGUGAACCUUUACUAUAGCUUGACACUGAACAUUGAGCCUUGAUGUGUAGGAUAGGUGGGAGGCUUUGAAGCGUGGACGCCAGUCUGCGUGGAGCCAACCUUGAAAUACCACCCUUUAAUGUUUGAUGUUCUAACGUUGGCCCCUGACCGGGGUUGCGGACAGUGUCUGGUGGGUAGUUUGACUGGGGCGGUCUCCUCCCAAAGCGUAACGGAGGAGCACGAAGGUUAGCUAAUCCUGGUCGGACAUCAGGAGGUUAGUGCAAUGGCAUAAGCUAGCUUGACUGCGAGCGUGACGGCGCGAGCAGGUGCGAAAGCAGGUCAUAGUGAUCCGGUGGUUCUGAAUGGAAGGGCCAUCGCUCAACGGAUAAAAGGUACUCCGGGGAUAACAGGCUGAUACCGCCCAAGAGUUCAUAUCGACGGCGGUGUUUGGCACCUCGAUGUCGGCUCAUCACAUCCUGGGGCUGAAGUAGGUCCCAAGGGUAUGGCUGUUCGCCAUUUAAAGUGGUACGCGAGCUGGGUUUAGAACGUCGUGAGACAGUUCGGUCCCUAUCUGCCGUGGGCGCUGGAGAAUUGAGGGGGGCUGCUCCUAGUACGAGAGGACCGGAGUGGACGCAUCACUGGUGUUCGGGUUGUCAUGCCAAUGGCACUGCCCGGUAGCUAAAUGCGGAAGAGAUAAGUGCUGAAAGCAUCUAAGCACGAAACUUGCCCCGAGAUGAGUUCUCCCUGAGACU